UGGAGGCGGGAAGAAUGUAGCGCGCUUGCGUGCGCCGAGAUUGCCGGCGCUCUUCUACCCCGCAAGGAGGGGCUGAAAUGCGCAGUCGCGUUGUUGCGGCGCUCAGACCCUCGCUUCUUCACGGUCCGGAGGAGAGCAAACCACCAAAAGAUGAUGGCGUGAAGGACCAUAAUUAGCAAUCUCUCUCCAGAGAUGACAUUUGAUCUGAGGCCUGAAUGACCACAGGGGCCAGGAGCCAAGAGAAGAUCUGGGGCGGAGCCUUCCAGGCAGAGGAAACAGCUAAAGCAGAGGCCUGAGGUGGGAAUGAGACCUGCAGAUCAUUUACUCUGAAGGAAGCCAACUGCCCUAUGGUGAGGACACAAAGCAGUCCGAUGGAAGUCUCCAUUUUAUGAUUCUGUGAACAGCCAGUGAGGAGUUAGACAAUGGCUAUUAGGCUAAUGGGUGAGUUUGGAAGAGGAUCCUCCAGCCCCAGUCAAGUCUUCAGAAGGAAAGUCCUGAGCCAGAACCACCCAACUAAGCUGCUACCAGGUUCUUGACUCACAAAAACCAUGGAAAUAAAUAUUGUUUUAAGUCACCAAGUUUUGGGGUCAUUUGUUAAGCACAGUAGACAAUGAUACAAUAGCAUUAGUGUUUUCAACUUCCUAGUUUGGUUUGUUUUUUGGUAAAUUUGGGGCUGGUUUUUAUACUGUUUUUUGCUCUCCUUUUAAAAUAUGCAGUUUGGAGAGGCUGGGUGAUUGAGUCAGUUAAGUGUCUGUCUCUUGGUUUCAGUUCAGGUCACAAUCUCAUGGCUCGUGGAUUUGAGUCCUGUGUCAGGCUCCCUGGUUGGGAUUCUCUCUCCCCCUCUCUCUCCCCCGCCCCCCCCCCCCACGCGUAUGUGUGUGCU